rnacentral:rRNA from 1 species
GGUGAUACUCCCGUUCUUGCCUAAGCAGCUUGCGCGUACGACACGUUUUCUUUGAGUCGCGUUGUUUGGGAAUGCAGCGCAAAGUGGGUGGUAAAUUCCAUCUAAAGCUAAAUAUUGGUGCGAGACCGAUAGCGAACAAGUACCGUGAGGGAAAGAUGAAAAGAACUUUGAAAAGAGAGUUAAAGAGUACCUGAAACUGCUGAAAGGGAACCGAAUCGUUUCCAGUGUCUAUAAUCCGUAGCAUAUUUCAUUGGCGAGUGGAUGCGUGCAGUGUUAAUGGCAGUAGCUUGCUGCGCCUUGCAUUGUUCUGCGUUUGCUUGCUGGUGCCCUGUGUUGCGGUGGGACGUCAGAGUCAGUUCGUAUGCUGCGGGAAAUGGUCGUCGAGGAGGUAGGUGCAUUAGCACUGUUAUAUCUCGGCUGACUAGUCGUCGUGGUUGGGACUGAGGUGCCUACAAUGUGCUUUAACGUCUUGCGGGCGCUCGUGUGGCCAACUGCUUGGAUAGCUUGCUAUGUCUGCGGUUGCGUCGGGCGAUUGUGUUUGUAAGUAACGUUUGCCGUUCGGGACUUUGACGAAAUGGAGCGAUCCGACCCGUCUUGAAACACGGACCAAGGASUCCAUGUGUGCAAGUGUUAGGGUGUGGAAACCCCAGCGCGUAAUGAAAGUAAAGGGCAGCGUUAGUUGUCUGAGGUAGGAAACCUUUCCUUGUGAGGGGUGGCACUAUCGACCGAUCAUGAACCUUCGUGGUGAAAGAUUUGAGUAUGAGCACAUAUGUUGGUACCCGAAAGAUGGUGAACUAUGCCUGAGUAGGGUGAAGCCAGGGGAAACUCUGGUGGAAGCUCGCAGCGAUUCUGACGUGCAAAUCGAUCGUCAAACUUGGGUAUAGGGGCGAAAGAC